rnacentral:rRNA from 1 species
UACGUAGGGUGCAAGCGUUGUCCGGAAUCAUUGGGCGUAAAGCGCGUGUAGGCGGCCCAGUAAGUCCGCUCUGAAAGCCCGGGGCUUAACCCCGGGAGGCGGGUGGAUACUGCUGGGCUCGAGUCCGGAAGAGGCGAGUGGAAUUCCCGGUGUAGCGGUGAAAUGCGCAGAUAUCGGGAGGAACACCAAUGGCGAAGGCAGCUCGCUGGGACGUGACUGACGCUGAGACGCGAAAGCGUGGGGAGCAAACAGG